rnacentral:rRNA from 1 species
UACGGAGGGGGCUAGCGUUGUUCGGAAUUACUGGGCGUAAAGCGCGCGUAGGCGGACCUGCAAGUCGGGGGUGAAAGCCCGAGGCUCAACCUCGGAACUGCCUUCGAUACUGCGGGUCUCGAGUCCGGGAGAGGUGAGUGGAAUUCCUAGUGUAGAGGUGAAAUUCGUAGAUAUUAGGAAGAACACCAGUGGUCGAAGGCGGCUCACUGGCCCGGUACUGACGCUGAG